UACGUAGGGCGCAAGCGUUAUCCGGAAUUAUUGGGCGUAAAGAGCGUGUAGGCGGUUCGGUAAGUCGGCUGUGAAAGUCCAGGGCUCAACCCUGGGAUGCCGGUCGAUACUGCCAGACUAGGGUUCGGAAGAGGCGAGUGGAAUUCCCGGUGUAGCGGUGAAAUGCGCAGAUAUCGGGAGGAACGCCUAUGGCGAAGGCAGCUCGCUGGGACGUUACUGACGCUGAGACGCGAAAGCGUGGGGAGCAAACAGG
rnacentral:rRNA from 1 species